CCCGCCGGCGACCGGCGCACGGGUGAGUAACACGUAUGAAACCUGCCCGUAGCAGGGGGAUAAGCGGAAGAAAUUCCGUCUAAUACCGCGUAACAACCCAUGGAGGCAUCUCUGUGGGUUUAAAGGAAGCGAUUCCGGCUACGGAUAGUCAUGCGUCGCAUUAGCUUGUUGGCGGGGUAACGGCCCACCAAGGCGACGAUGCGUAGGGGUUCUGAGAGGAAGGUCCCCCACACUGGUACUGAGACACGGACCAGACUCCUACGGAAGGCAGCAG
rnacentral:rRNA from 1 species